rnacentral:rRNA from 1 species
UAUUGGACAAUGGGCGAAAGCCUGAUCCAGCAAUGCCGCGUGAGUGAAGAAGGCCUUCGGGUUGUAAAGCUCUUUUACCCGGGAAGAUAAUGACUGUACCGGGAGAAUAAGCUCCGGCUAACUCCGUGCCAGCAGCCGCGGUAAUACGGAGGAAGCUAGCGUUGUUCGGAAUUACUGGGCGUAAAGCGCACGUAGGCGGCUAUUCAAGUCAGAGGUGAAAGCCCGGGGCUUAACUCCGGAAUUGCCUUUGAAACUGGAUGGCUUGAACACGGGAGAGGUGAGUGGAAUUCCGAGUGUAGAGGUGAAAUUCGUAGAUAUUCGGAGGAACACCAGUGGCGAAGGCGGCUCACUGGACCGUUGUUGACGCUGAGGUGCGAAAGCGUGGGGAGCAAACAGG